GACGAACGCUGGCGGCGUGCUUAACACAUGCAAGUCGAACGGAAAGGCCCUGCUUUUGUGGGGUGCUCGAGUGUCGAACGGGUGAGUAACACGUGAGUAACCUGCCCUUGACUUUGGGAUAACUUCAGGAAACUGGGGCUCAUACCGGAUAUGAGCUCCUGCUGCAUGGUGGUGGUUGGAAAGUUUCGGCGGUUGCGGAUGGACUCGCGGCUUAUCAGCUUGUUGGUGGGGUAUUGGCUUACCAAGGCUUUGACGGGUAGCCGGCCUGAGCGGGUGACCGGGGACAUUGGGACUGAGAGACGGACCAGAAUCGUACGGGAGGCAGCAGUGGGGAAUAUGGCACAAUGGGCGGAAGCCUGAUGCAGAAACGCCGGGUGCGGGAUGACGGCCUUCGGGUGGUAAACCGGUGUCGCAUGUGAUGAAGCGUGAGUGACGGUAAUGGGUAAAGAAGCAACGGCUAACUACGUG
rnacentral:rRNA from 1 species